AUUGAACGCUGGCGGCAGGCCUAACACAUGCAAGUCGAACGGUAGCACAGAGAGCUUGCUCUCGGGUGACGAGUGGCGGACGGGUGAGUAAUGUCUGGUAAACUGCCUGAUGGAGGGGGAUAAGUAAUGGAAAAGGUAGCUAAUACCGCAUAACGUCGCAAGACCAAAGAGGGGGGCCUUCGGGCCGCUUGCCAUCAAGUCUUCCCAGAUGGGAUUAGCUAGUAGGUGGGGUAACGGCUCACCUAGGCGACGAUCCCUAGCUGGUCUGAGAGGAUGACCAGCCACACUGGAACUGAGACACGGGCCAGACUCCUACGGGAGGAAGCAGUGGGGAAUAUUGCACAAUGGGCGCAAGCCUGAUGCAGCCAUGCCGCGUGUAUGAAGAAGGCCUUCGGGUUGUAAAGUACUUUCAGCGGGGAGGAAGGUGUUGUGGUUAAUAACCACAGCAAUUGACGUUACCCGCAGAAGAAGCACCGGCUAACUCCGUGCCAGCCGCCGCGGUAA
rnacentral:rRNA from 1 species